GCUCAGAGAGAGAGAGAGAGAGAAUGGCCUGUGAGACAGCUCCAAUUUGUUUUGAGGUUGAUCUUUGCGGUGGCUUUUCCACGUCGGUUGUGUGCUGUUUGUAUUUUAUUCGCAAUUAAAAAACAGAUAAUUUGUGGGCCCACCACACCGGAACCUACCCUACAAACUGAUCGCCACAAAAGUAAUACUAUUUUUGGAGUAAUUUUUACGAUUAAU
rnacentral:misc_RNA from 1 species